AUUGAACGCUGGCGGCAGGCCUAACACAUGCAAGUCGAGCGAGCGGCGGACGGGUGAGUAAUGUAUGGGAAUCUGCCCGAUGGAGGGGGAUAACUACUGGAAACGGUGGCUAAUACCGCAUACUAUCGGAUGAACCCAUAUGGGAUUAGCUAGUAGGUGGGGUAAAGGCUCACCUAGGAGACGAUCCCUAGCUGGUCUGAGAGGAUUACCAGCCACACUGGAACUGAUGCACGGGCAAGACUCCUACGGGAGUCAGCAGUGGGGAAUAUUGCACAAUGGGCGAAAGCCGGAUGCAGCCAUGCCGCGUGUAUGAAGAAGGCCUUAGGGUUGUAAAGUACUUUCAGCGGGGAGGCGUUACCCGCAGAAGAAGCACCGGCUAACUCCGUGCCAGCAGCCGCGGUAAUUC
rnacentral:rRNA from 1 species